rnacentral:rRNA from 1 species
AGUGAACGCUGGCAGUAGGCCUAACACAUGCAAGUCGAACGGCAGCACAGUAAGAGCUUGCUCUUACGGGUGGCGAGUGGCGGACGGGUGAGGAAUACAUCGGAAUCUACUUUUUCGUGGGGGAUAACGUAGGGAAACUUACGCUAAUACCGCAUACGACCUACGGGUGAAAGCAGGGGAUCUUCGGACCUUGCGCGAUUGAAUGAGCCGAUGUCGGAUUAGCUAGUUGGCGGGGUAAAGGCCCACCAAGGCGACGAUCCGUAGCUGGUCUGAGAGGAUGAUCAGCCACACUGGAACUGAGACACGGUCCAGACUCCUACGGGAGGCAGCAGUGGGGAAUAUUGGACAAUGGGCGCAAGCCUGAUCCAGCCAUACCGCGUGGGUGAAGAAGGCCUUCGGGUUGUAAAGCUCUUUUGUUGGGAAAGAAAAGCAGCAGGUUAAUACCCCGCUGUUCUGACGGUACCCAAAGAAUAAGCACCGGCUAACUUCGUG